UGCAUUUUCUUCUUCUUCUCAAUUCAACCACUAGUUAUAUAUAGCAUUUCCUAUACAUUACUUUUUUGCAAUAUGAAAUGGAUACUUCAGAUCCAAGUCUGAAAGGGAACAAGUGAAGCUGCCAGCAUGAUCUAAACUUGGCCAGUUAAUAAUUAUACAUAAAUAAGAGAAAUGGAUGGCCAAGGUUAGGUCAUGCUUUGACAGCCUCACUCCUUCCUCUUUUGACGACUCAACGGAUUCUGAAAAGCAUAAUAUUAUUUUUCUAAAAACUGAGUUUGACCGAGCAACAAGGAAAUCACUGUUUAAGAGUAGAAGGAAAGGUGGUCAAGGAGUAAUUGAGUCUUUCACACCUACUCCUCUCCAGCUGCCCCUGUCCACCCUUGGAUCUCUCUCAGUUUUCGCUCUAACAUUUUGUGUGCAAAUGUAUAACUGAUGAAUAAUGGAGAUCAUAGACUGAAUAGUACUAUUUUAGGUGUUUAUUUUAUGUUGAUGAGACACAGAUCGGACCUUGGGAAUCAGAAAAGAGAAAGGAGUUAUAAGGUAGGAGAGGAUUUUAUGGCAAGGACAAAUUCCUAGGGAGAUUCGAUCUUUAUCGCUAAAUUUGUUAUACUUUUGAAAUUAUGGAUUCAUAAUUUAUAUUGGAUUGAAAAUGAAAGUUUGGUUGAAUUUAGUAAUUGUACUUAUUUAAAUAAUACUAUUGUAUUGCAAUUGUAAA